rnacentral:rRNA from 1 species
GACGAACGCUGGCGGCGUGCCCAAUACAUGCAAGUAGAACGCAGACGCGAACGGGUGAGUAACGCGUAGGUAAAUGCCUCAAAGCGGGGGGUAAAUAUUGGAAACGAUCGCUAAUACCGCAAACUGCGAGAUGGACCGGCGUUGUCUGAGCUAGUUGGUGAGGUAAAGGCUCACCAAGGCGACGAUACAUAGCCGACCUGAGAGGGUGAUCGGCCACCCUGGGACUGAGACGCGGCCCAGACUCCUACGGGAGGCAGCAGUAGGGACUCGUCGGGAAUGGACGGAAGUCUGACCCAGCAACGCCGCGUGAGUGAAGAAGGUUUUCGGGUCGUAAAUCUCUGUUGUUGGGGAGGCGGUAGCGAACCAGAAAGGGACGGCUAACUACGUGCCAGCAGCCGCGGUAAUUC